rfam:Triticum aestivum genome assembly, contig: Triticum_aestivum_CS42_TGACv1_scaffold_271819_3DS
CUUGUACUCUCUCCGUCCGAAAAUACUUGUCAUCGUCCCUUUUUAUCCAUUUUGAUGACAAGUAUUUAGAUACAUCCCUUUUUAUCCAUUUUGAUGACAUGUAUUUUCGGACGGAGAGAGUAUCAA